CAGCAACUGCUGGUUUCUUCUGAUAUCAAUGAAUGUAAUCUGUAGACUAUAAGGCUAGAAAAGAAGGACAUUUGCGGUUUAAGUGUAUAUUGAUCGGGAUCUGUCAGGAUGCUGCAACUAAUCAACAGAGAAAAACUAAUGAGGAAAAUGUCUCCAUCUCCAUGACCAAUUGUAAAAUGUCCCAAUACCUUUUAUGGCACAUACCCAUCAACAGAGCAUACACACAGAGGCUGGAUAUUUGGGGAGGAUUCAGUGUCUACACAUUGUACAAGCGUUCAAGAGAGGGUCAAGUGAUUUCUUCACUCUUCAUCAUGGCCUUUCUGGAAGAGGAAAUAAAGACAAGAGCAGAG